rnacentral:rRNA from 1 species
AGAGCAUAGGGUGAAUGCCUAGGCACCAAAAGCCGAUGAAAGACGUGACAAGCUGCGAUAAGCCUUGGGGAGGAGCACAUAUCCUUUGAUCCAGGGAUUUCUGAAUGAGGAAACUCAGCUGGGAAAAAGAGCCCAGUUAUCCACACAUGAGUAAAGUAGUGUGUGAGAAGGGAACGUGGAGAACUGAAACAUCUUAGUACCCACAGGAAAAGAAAGAAAAAUCGAUAUCGAAAGUAGUGGCGAGCGAAAUCGAUAGAGCCCAAACCAGAAUCAGUAAUGAUACUGGGGUUCGGACAGCAUAAUUGAUUAAACGAGGAUAGCAAAACUGUUUUGGAAAAGCAGACUAUAAAGGGUGAAAGUCCCGUAUGCGAAAUUCAAGUUUACAUGGCUGUAUCCAGAGUAGUGCGAGACACGAGAAAUCUCGUAUGAAUGAGCGGGGACCAUCCCGUAAGGCUAAAUACUAAUUGGUGACCGAUAGCGAACUAGUACCGUGAGGGAAAGGUGAAAAGAACCCCGGGAGGGGAGUGAAAUAGAAUCUGAAACCCUAUGUUUACAAGCAGACAGAGCGAUUUAAGGCGCGAUGUCGUACUUUUUGUAGAACGGUCCAGCGAGUUAUAGUGUAUGGCAAGGUUAAGUUUUAAGUAAGGAACGGAGCCGAAGCGAAAGCGAGUCUGAAAAGGGCGAAUUAAGUCAUGCGUUAUAGACCCGAAACCGGGUGACCUAUCCAUGGUCAGGAUGAAGCAAGAGUAAAAUCUUGUGGAGGUCCGAACUGAUUGUCGUUAAAAAGGCACCGGAUGAACUGUGGAUAGCGGAGAAAUUCCAAUCGAACUCGGAGAUAGCUGGUUCUCCUCGAAAUAGCUUUAGGGCUAGCCUUGGAGGAAGACGAAUGGAGGUAGAGCACUGAAUGAGGUAGGGGCCUAACCAGGUUACCGAACUCUAUCAAACUCCGAAUGCCAUUCGUUAAUAUCCAGGAGUCAGACUACGGGAGCUAAGUUCCGUGGUCAAAAGGAAAAGAGUCCAGAUCGUCAAUUAAGGUCCCAAAUGGAUAGCUAAGUGGAAAACGAUGUGAUUUUGCGUAAACAACCAGGAUGUUGGCUCAGAAGCAGCCAUUCAUUAAAAGAGUGCGUAAUAGCUCACUGGUCGAGUGAAGUUGCGCGGAAAAUUACCGGGGCUAAGUUAUCAACCGAAAUUGCGGAUUUGUAAUUUAUUACAAGUGGUAGAGGAGCAUUCUAUUGUAGGAUGAAGUCAGAGCGUGAGCACUGGUGGACGAGAUAGAAGAGAGAAUGCUGGAAUAAGUAGCGAGAGCAGGGUGAGAAUCCCUGCCGUCGAAAGUCUAAGGUUUCCUGGGGAAGGUUCGUCCGCCCAGGGUUAGUCAGGACCUAAGGAGAGGCCGAAAGGCGUAUCUGAUGGAUAGCAGGUUGAUAUUCCUGCACUAUAUAAUACUUAAAAGAUGCAACUGACGCAGAAGUGGAAGGUGAGCAAGGAAAUGGAAAAACUUGUUCCGCAAGGGGGAGUGAAAAUAAAGUAACGAAGCACCAAGAAGCACGCUGACGAGAAAAGGUUGUAGAUCUUGUAUUAUAUACUUGUACCGCAAACCGACACAGGUAGAUGAGGAGAGGAUCCUAAGACGAUCGGGAGAAGCAUUGUUAAGGAACUCGGCAAAUUGACCCCGUAACUUUGGAAGAAGGGGUACUGGUGUAACAGCCAGUCGCAGUGAAUAGUCCCAAGCAACUGUUUAACAAAAACAUAGGUUUCUGCUAAAUCGAAAGAUGAAGUAUAGGAGCUGACGCCUGCCCAGUGCUGGAAGGUUAAGGGAACGUGUUAAUAGUAAUAUGAAGCACCGAACUGAAGCCCCAGUGAACGGCGGCCGUAACUAUAACGGUCCUAAGGUAGCGAAAUUCCUUGUCGGGUAAGUUCCGACCCGCACGAAAGGCGUAAUGAUUUGGGCACUGUCUCAACGAGAGACUCGGUGAAAUUUUAGUACCUGUGAAGAUGCAGGUUACCCGCGACAGGACGGAAAGACCCCAUGGAGCUUUACUGUAGCUUGAUAUUGAAUUUUGAUGCAGUAUGUACAGGAUAGGUAGGAGCCUGAGAAUCAUGCACGCCAGUGUAUGAGGAGGCGUUGUUGGGAUACUACCCUUGCUGUAUUGAAAUUCUAACCCUCGGCAUAGAAAACCGGGAGACAGUGUCAGGUGGGCAGUUUGACUGGGGCGGUCGCCUCCUAAAGAGUAACG